rnacentral:rRNA from 1 species
UACGUAGGGAGCAAGCGUUGUCCGGAAUCAUUGGGCGUAAAGCGCGUGUAGGCGGUCCGGUAAGUCCGCUGUGAAAGUCGAGGGCUCAACCCUCGAAUGCCGGUGGAUACUGUCGGGCUAGAGUACGGAAGAGGCGAGUGGAAUUCCUGGUGUAGCGGUGAAAUGCGCAGAUAUCAGGAGGAACACCAAUUGCGAAGGCAGCUCGCUGGGACGUUACUGACGCUGAGACGCGAAAGCGUGGGGAGCAAACAGG